UCGUUCGUGACAUUUAUAUUCGUGUACUAUCGUGUACUAGAAGUCAGUUUCCGUUUUAUCAUUAUUGGAAUCGAUUGGAAUGGCUCUUAGCUGAAGCUUCUCUCUUCUCUGAAGCUUAUUCUGAAGACUGAACAACAAGGGAAGAGGUAUAAAGCUUUGUCAAGCUUGUUAAGGUCAGAUAUUUUUGUGUGGGCCCUAUGGCUAUGCUAUCAAGUCUUGUUCAUGUUUGGCAAGAUCUACCGGUAGGUAGACUAUAGUUUCAUCAUUAAUAUGGUGGAUCAAGUGAAGAGUGUGAGCUAGAGAACUUGGUGCUGCCAUCAUCAGCUCGUCGACAAUGACACUAUAACACGAGAAAUUUAAUAUGUAUAGAUCUACACGUAUUUAGAAUGUCUACUUCUCUGUACAGGAGCAAUGGCUAAUAUCCAGCUAUCCCAACAGUGCUCCUCUUGGCUAUACUAACGGACGAGACUGGACAGUUUGAGGACUGGAGUAUGACCUGCUCAUUCGAGCGUUGCUGGGUAGCUCAGAGACAUCAAGAGAAUCUACGUUUUCUCAAGCAAAAUUUAACUGAGUUACGAGUUGGGGCCUAGAAUCAGAGAAGUCCAGCAGCCUGCUAAAUCUUUUUGAAACGUAAUUUGAAGGCAUUCAAUCAUCCUGAAGUUUCCCUGGGUCACUGUAAUUGUGCUGCAGCACAACUGGCAACUCCCCAAGCCUUUGUGAAGCAGCUCCCUAUGUGCAUCUUUUGUGUACUCACUCUGUGCAUUUUCUGUGUACAAAUUUCUAUUAUUGAUUUAUUAAAUAUUUUUGCCGACCACAAA